rnacentral:lncRNA from 1 species
CAACCUUUCAACUAAGGACAUGCUAUCACCAGAAUUAAACUCAAUUCAAAGGGCUUUAAUGGCAUGAUCUGUGCACAUGCUUUGCAAAAGUAGCAAUGUGUGGUCAGCAUUUUUGACAGGUCCGCUAUCCAUCUCUCUCCAACCAGUCAUCUCCUUCUCUCCGUAACUCUCAACCACACCAUCUGACUUUAUCUCCCUCCAACCUUCCACCUACUCUAUCUCUCCUCACUACCCUAUAUCUCUAUUGUGCCAAACAGACAGAGACAUCUUCAAAAAGGAUCCUUAAGGAUGGGAAUGUGAACUUCCUGCAUGUUUUCUGGAUCCAGUGUGUUGUCCACUUCCAUGUGAGGACAUGCAUCUUCAAUAUCUGACAUGGAGAAAAUGUAUUACUCUUCAUAAUAAAGCCUUGAUUCACAUCCCCCAACAUCAGAAAGCAGUGAGGAAUUCCAAUGGGAUGAUUGUCUAAUGCUGGGUGAGAGAGGAGGGGGUUAAAUGAGGACAGGCCAUUUUUUAACAUCUUUCAAGCAUUUGUUCUCUUUCUUUCUUUGGUGUGGGGAAUUUUUUACCCCUAAGGGUCUACUCCGCUCUUGGAGGCUUAACCCACUCAAAGGGGGCAGAUGGUUCUCUGGGUGGCGUAUGCAUGCCAGUCAUUCCACUGCAGCGAACUGGAGGAGGGUGGUCUAUGUAUCAUCAGCUGGCCCAAGGCGGGUGGGGGAAAAGGGGAGGCAUAUGGAACCAAAAAAAACAAAAUUAGAAUUAUUUUAUAUUUAACUAGGCAAGUCAGUUAAGAACAAAUUCUUGUUUACAAUGACUGCCUAGGAACAAUGGGUUAACUGCAUUGUUCAGGGGCAGAACGACAGAGUUUUACCUUGUCAGCUCAGGGUGUUGAUCUACCAAACUUUUGAUUAGUGGCCCAGCACUCUAACCACUAGGCUACCUGGCAGUCCAAAUAGGGAGCUUCAGAAAAGCUUACCCUUUUAAUGGAAAGAAAUCAUACAUUCCACUUAAUAAAGUCCUAUAAACAUGGCAGCAGUACAUAGAAAGCCCUUUGUUUUGCACACACAAGGAUUCAUCUCUUAGACAUGCUUCUAGAUAACAGAGAGGAAAG